AAACGACAAAGGAGUUGUCCUAACCUAUGAAGCAGUUGUGUGCGUCACAGAAAUAGGUGACUUUAAAAGAGUGAAGAAACUCUUAUCUUUCAAUGUCGGUUAUUUGGAUGAGAAGGAUGUAUUUUGGAUUGUAAUUGUUGAUACUAAAGCGUCUUGUGUGCAAGACGUGGCAAAGUUUGCUGUGGCAAAGCAUAAUGAAGACGAACAUGAUAGUCUUGUCUACCUUUCUAUCACUAAAGGUUGGUAUCGAGAACUUGACCCGUAUAAUGCUAUAUUCUUCGAAAUUCAUCUUACGACGAAGGAUUGUUUUGGACGAGUGCGUGAGUUUAAGGCUUUGGUUCUAGAAGACAAACCUCAAAAGGAGAAAAUCCGAACACUCAAAUAUUUCGAAGUUAUAAAGAAAUGUUGAAAACUUGCUAUCUAUAUGUAAGUGAGAGUGGUUAUGUUAUGUGUUAUGUCUAUGUUCUUGA
rnacentral:lncRNA from 1 species